GCAUAACGCGAAGAACCUUACCAGGUCUUGACAUCCCUCUGACCGAUCCUUAACCGGAUCUUCUCUUCGGAGCAGAGGUGACAGGUGGUGCAUGGUUGUCGUCAGCUCGUGUCGUGAGAUGUUGGGUUAAGUCCCGCAACGAGCGCAACCCUUAUCUUUAGUAGCCAGCAGUUCGGCUGGGCACUCUAGAGAGACUGCCAGGGAUAACCUGGAGGAAGGUGGGGAUGACGUCAAAUCAUCAUGCCCCUUAUGAUCUGGGCUACACACGUGCUACAAUGGUGAUAACAAAGUGAAGCAGCCUCGUGAGAGUGAGCAAAUCACAAAAAGUCAUCUCAGUUCGGAUUGUAGUCUGCAACUCGACUACAUGAAGCUGGAAUCGCUAGUAAUCGCGAAUCAGAAUGUCGCGGUGAAUACGUUCCCGGGUCUUGUACACACCGAGGUC
rnacentral:rRNA from 1 species